GAAAGGUUUAGGGAAAGCAGUGUCUGAAGUGAAAUCAUCAAGGAGGGAAGUUUCAGUUAAAGGGGAAAAGGCGCCGGCUGGCAACGGCGUGUAUCUCUGUGUGAAGUGUGUCACCAGAGGUAGGGACGGGCACCCGGCCACUCUCAUUGUUCAGGAGACUCACAUUUCAGCCUCUUGCACCUCACUUCCAAAAAGCCAUCUGCAAUUUGCUCCUCAGGUCAAGGAAGCAAAGAGUAAAGCUAGCAGUGAAUGAGUUCUCUGAGAUGUGAAGACAAAAUCAAGAAGUAUUAAGUGAGUACUUUCCAUAUGACUAGCACUGUGCUAAGGAUUGCAAAGACAGAAAAUUAUAAAGCAUAAUGACCAUCCUUAAGGAAAUUCCAGUCUAGAGAAAGACCUGAAAAAAGAAUUCAAGGAGAUCCUGAUCCAUGCAGUGGCACUGAUGGCUAACGAGUUUCUGCAUGGUCAGAAUGCCUUUCUGAAACCUCUUGGAAACUGAGGCAACAUCCACCUCUUGUAAAAGAAAAACGACUGGAUAAAACGGUAUCGGGUUACCAGGAAGCCGUAUGUCAUCCCGAAAUUCAGAUGACUAAGUACAUAACAGGAAUCGCCAUCAGCUGAUGGGGAGGUGGAGUGGAGGAAGGCAGGCAUGUGUACGCCUGUGAACCCAAGCUCC
rnacentral:lncRNA from 9 species